AAUGCAGCAAUUCGUUGUUUGUCAAUAAACCUCAAGAAGAAGAAGAAGAAGAAGAAGAAGACGUCGUCGUUUCGUCAUCACUUCCGGACACAGCAAUCAUGGGACCUACUGCAACUCCCGUGACGGAGUCUAAACAAGAAGAUCUUAAAAUGUUUAAAUCUAAAGGAACUCAAGUUUCUUUACCGAAACACUCAUAUUGGUUUGACUUUUGGGUGUUCGUUGUCUUUGACAUUGCGUUUUUUCUCGUCAUUUAUCUCCUGGUCCCGUAAAAGGUUUGUCCUCUGGACUCUGGAGCGAGAAGACAUGGAGUGCUGGUCCUGCCCAGCUGUCAGGAACGCUAACCCAGCUUCGGCUGAAUUUAACGCAGCUUUAUUGGAUGUCUCAUCCCAAGUUUCCAGGACUCAGACCAUGUGACUGCAAGUCUUAUACACUGGCGUCCUGCUUUCAUAUCAAAGAUUU